CAACAUAAGAUUGAAAUGGACAAACGAGAUGGCAUGUUUGGUCCACAACCAAUGGCAGUACCCCCUGUUCAGCAGAUGUCACGCAUUGAUCAACCAAUUCCUCCUGCAGCUGGCUAUCCACCACCAGCAUAUGGACAGGCUUAUCCACCUCAGGCACCUGGCUAUACUGCUCCAGGUUAUCCACCGGCUGCAUAUCCUCCUGCUCAGAACCCUCCAGCUGGUUACCCACCACCUGGCUAUUAUAGAUGAUCUUUCCCUGGUUACUUCUUGGUCGCAAGCACCUGAGUCUGGGUUACUGAGACAUGGACAGAGCUGGUAUUCAUUAUUAAAUUU
rnacentral:lncRNA from 1 species